rnacentral:lncRNA from 1 species
GUCCCGGUUUUCCACACCUACAUCUACCGGUAUUCUUCUUCUACGCAGGUAAAUCCAAGGGCUUUAGGGUUUCCUUUUUGGUUCUUUUUGAGGCAGUGAUGGCUUCGUCGACGAAGACGAACUCCGGCAGUCGGACUCUGGCCGUCACGGUGAUUUGGAUUCGGUCUGAGACAAACCCCGGCAGAUUAGUGUCGUCUAGGGCCAGUGAACGGCGGCGAUUCAGUUGUUAAUUUGACCGGUUCUGACGAGUAGGUGAGGGUUUUGCCCAGAAUCCUGUCAUUACCUAACUCAGAAACGACGAGUAAGAUGAAAUCGGACAAGAUUUGAACAAUGCUGAUUAAGAUGGGUUAUGUUGCUGACCGACGGUGACGAAGAAGUUGCCGGAAAUGAAGAAGCCUAAUCGAGUAAUCGAAAGCCACACCUCCGGCAUUUAAAACCUAAUGGACAACCAUAGGGGAAGAAGAAGCAAGGGAAUGCUGCUAGAUACAUCUCUAGAUCGCAAGCUGUCAAGUAUCUUCACGUCAGUUUAUCCGUUUUCAGGUUACCCACCAGGCCACCACCACCGACGCUCUUCCAUCUGCUGAUUGGCAUCACCAUCACCAUCACCACAGAUCGUCUUCCAUCUGCUGCUGCUGCUGAUCAUCGGGUAGCUCCAGAGUAGGUUACGCAUCACCGCCACAACGGAACCCCUUUCAUCUGCUGCUGAUCAUCGUUGAUUGAGACCAUCGCCACUACCGACCUCUUCCGUUUAAUUCUUAGAGAUAGAGAAGUAGAGAGAGGGGGUAGAGUGAAGGGAAGCCGGAAGAGGAGUCGGCCAUGGCCUUCGACCAUCUUCCUCCUGAUUCCAGUGAUAGAAAUAGUAGCUUAUGACCAUGGUGUCGGUUGUAUGUGUUAUGGUGAUAGCGACGAUUCCGGCUAAAUGAGGUAACAAUGGUGGUGGUUGUGGUUCAAGGUGAUGACGAUGGGUAAGUGUACGGUGAUGAAGACGGUGGCUUGAGGUUGUAAAGGUGACAGCAGCGGUGUUGAUAAAGAACAGGGGUGAUGAACUGAUGAUGGUGGUUUCAGCAAAGGGUUGUCGUGCUUUUGAUGGCGGUGAACAGUAACGGCGGUGGUGAUUUAUGAUGGUUGCAGCCGGUGUCGGGUGGUAUUACAUGUACCAGCUUCAUCUUCAUAUGUUGAUUUGUAGAGUAAGUGACAGAUUGUGUGCUUUUAUUUUUAGGGUUUUUUUUUACCAAAUAAUGUUGGGAUGAGUUUUUGAUUUGUGGUUUUUUUUAUCUUCAAAUACGAAGAUAAUGAGGGUGAUUUUGGAUUUGCAGAAAAGUAUAAGAUUGUAGGGUGAUUUUAGAUUUGCAAAAGAUAAUGGUUUGUGAUAUGAGGUUCAUUCAUGAUGAUGAUGAUCUGUAUCAAAAGUAGUGAAAAUCUUG